AGUCGCUCGGCUCGGCCGGGGACGCCGGACUUGCCGCGUACGGAGACCUCGUCGCCGCGUUCGAGGCCCGUGACGGCUACC
rnacentral:tRNA from 1 species